UACAAACAAGCUCGGUGCACUCGGAAGCUCAAAGACCUCUCUAGAUUGCUUUUAUCCACCACUUUUACGCCUUUGAUCUUCCCUAGCCUCGAGCUAGUAGUGUUAUGUUUCUGGUCGCUAAAUGCUUGGAGCUUGCACGAGGAAGGAGUCGUUGUGGUGUACGGACUGUUAUGUUCCGUGCUUAAUAUUUAAUUCCUUAUGAACUUAUAAAACUUGCGUUUGAACUUUAACUUAUAAACUAUGGACUUAUGUUUUGGACUUUACGUUUAUGCUCCCGCUGUUUAAUUUAAAACUCGGUUAACUAGCUUUUGGUCACCAAUCGUAUUGUGGUUGGCUUUAUUUACUUAAAUACGUUGUUUAGUAUGAUUGGUGGCUCGAUCCUGGUCAUGUCACGCCUCCAAGCGGUGGUACUCCGCAUGGUGGAUUUUGGGGGUGUGACAGAUUGGUAUCAGAGCCAUUGGUUAUAGU
rnacentral:lncRNA from 1 species